AUGGGCAAAUGAGUGGAAACGUUAUUAUCCCUUGUCCAGAGGAAACUGGGCAGUACCAGAAGCACCACCUGUGGCACCCGGAGCUGCUCAGAGGAAGGUCUGAAAAUCACAAACCUCAGACUAACCCCUUCAUUUGAGAAACUGGGGCCCAGAGGGCUGAAGUGACUUUUGCAGUGUCAUGAAAUUGUCAACCAAAGGACUGAAUCCCAGCGCACUGUGCUUUCAGCUGUUUUAUCCUAUAUUCCUGAAGGAUAAGUUCUAUAGAAUAGAUUAGCUCCUAUCAGUGGGUAGCCCUCUAGGGAGAGAACUGUCAGAGGGUUUUGUUCACACCUUGUUUCAAAUGCUGCUGCUCCUUCAGGACUGUGGACACGGAGACCUGCUUCCUAAGACUUCCCUCCCCACUUGGCAAUCAUCUUGAAUUUGUAUUAGAAGUAAGGAAAUGGGACUGCUUUCUCCAAAUAUUUAUAAUGACUUUAUUGCUCUGAAUUGCCACACAUCAGAGAGAACUUUUAACCAUUAGGGGUCUUGACUUCCUAUUUGUGAAAAGUGGAGUGACUCUGAUCAAGAAGGCUCAACUCCUUUUGGUUGGAGAUCACAGGAAUGGCAUCAUGUCAUGAUGGCCAUAGGGGAGCCACACCAGCUGUACUGUCCCCAGUGGAAAGAGCCAGGACCCAGGACCCAGGGCAGGCAGUGACAGUUUCCCAGAGAGCCGACUCCCCUUCUCUGGGCUGGAUGAGCAGGAGAGACAGAGACACCUGGCCCUCCCGGAACAGAGUGAAGCUGACAAGGGACGAUGAAUGGAAAAGAUACAAAGUGAAAAGUUGAGUCACAUGGAGGGGAUCCUCU
rnacentral:lncRNA from 1 species